AUCUUCCUUCAAUCAAUCCUUCCAGAUUCAGCCCCUCCCAUUUCCUCUCCAUCUUUCUCUUUACUUUUAGAUCUUUUUAGUUUCUCUCCUUUGCUAUUUCCCCAGGUUAUGUAGGUUUUUAAGUUGCAGUGGCAAAAUUUAAUUGCUUUCUAUUUAAUAGAAAAGGAAAAAAAAAAAGAGAAAAAUCCUAAACCAUAUCGACUAGCCUUGAAAUAAUUUUCUGAAAAACACAAGCUGUUAUGUUUUUAUCCAUACAAUGAUAGACAUACUUUCAUUUUGAAUGAUGCUAAAUUCUUAGGACUGGACUUGAACUAUUUUUGUGCACCAGGUUUUUAUCUUUAGAGUUUUUCCUUUAAAAAUGGGAUUUUGUUCUCAGUUCAUAAGAUUGGAAGUAUUAAACUACACUUGUCCUUGAUUCAGUUUGCUGCUUCUUCAUGGUCCAAAUUGCCCUUCAUGCAGAGCUGAGCUUGUAAUAUGUACUCUAGAUGCUGAGUAAAUGCUUUCACUGGCUGUCCCUGGCUUACUUACUCAGCCAGUCUGAGUCACCUUCAAAACAUCAAGAUUAUGUGUAUAUACACUGUAAUAAAUAACCACCUGCACUGAGGUAAUGCAAAUUGAAUUUGUUGAAAUAUGGCCUAUUAUAUUAAAAUUUAUGUUUCUAUUAUAAUUUUUAUUGUAUGAAACAAAUUUGUCCUGUAUAAAAUUACUGAGAAAUAAGAACUGUAUCCAUAUAUAGGAAAGCUUAUCUUUUCUUGGGAACUGUUUAAUAAUAGAUUCUUACCAUGCACCUAUCGUCUUAAGUGCCUAUUUUCUUCUGCGUCCUCUUAAAAAUGCAUAGCUAGAUUUUGUCAUUCUUAAAACAGGUCAGAUAACUUAAUCAUAAUGUACUUGUGUAUAUAUCCUAAAUAUAGACGAUUAGAAAGUUAGUUUCUUUUUGUACUUGAACCAGUUAUUUUAUAAAUAAUAUCAACAGAUUAGAAAUAGACAUAAAACAUAUUCAUUAAAGGGAUUUCAAGACAAACUUCUACUAUGGGGGUAUUUUCAUUCUGAAUCUGUACAAAUGGUGACAUGGUGAGAAUGAAGGUGAGAUAUGAUGAGGAUAGGACUUUGAAGCUGACACACCUCUAGUGCUUUUACAGGACUGAAACAAGUUACUUAGUGAACUGUAUAACAAACAGUUCUUUUCCUGAAUGAAAGAAAUAAACAUUAAAGGAGAAAAUUUGAAAUCAAUUGGUAAAUAUACAGGCACUAAAUUAGCCUUAUUUCAUGCUAAUUCAGCUUUAUUGAACUCAUAUCACCAUCUAUAAAAGCUGCCUCUGCUGUUCAAAGUAAUAUCCAGUAUAUCUCAAUUAGCAAUGUGUUAACCUUUCAUCCAAGUUGUCUAGCAGAGUGAAGCUAAAUAGAUUAACUAUCAAAAAAGGGAAAUAAAAAUCUAAGAACCAAAAGAGAAGUUAAAAAUAUUUUUAUUUUUGAUAGUAAUUUAAAAAAAUGACAAUAGAAUGGUCAAAAUAAUAUUAAACCAUGAGCAUUCCUAAAUCUGAUAAUAUAUAUUUAAUUAUUUUUUAAAUGUUGGAACUGGCCCUGAAUUUUAAAAAUGUUUGGAAUAACAGUAGGCUGUACCUGGUCUUAGCUAGUGUAGCCUGCUUAGUCUUAACAUAGAAGCAAGAUAUCUGAAGAGGAUCUGAAGAACAUCCUGUUUCAGAAGACAAAUGGAAAUUUUGACAGUUUAUUUUGGUCAGGGUUUCAAGGUGCAGAAAUGAAAUUUGGUGCAUCUGAGCGAUGUGUCACUGAGUGCUGUUGAGGCAGAAGGGUUCCCCUUGAGUACUCAGUCAUCUGGUUUACAUAUAAACAUUUUCUUAGCUUGCUAAAAGAGGCUAAAACUGCCUUUAUCACCUGAUUUUGUAUUGAUCAUCUAAAUAAUGGCUGCAUACAGACUGGGAAAGAAUGUUGUUCAGACUAAGUUUAGUAAGUGGUUGAAUCUGGAAUCAGGUUGUUUACUUAUGCGUGCACCACACUUGGAUCUUUAAAAGAGCUGUUAACCUCUGAAUGAUAUGGGAUGAUCUUCAUUUUUUUUUUUCCUAAUGGAUGGCACAGUUCACAGAAGAUUUCUUGGGGGAUAGGCUGAAAUCUUCUUUCACUGCACCAUGAGAAAACCACAGAGCUCCUUAGUGACUGUCACUGCAUAUUCAUUUCCCUACAAGCCAGGCAUAUGUUAGGUUACACUUUUGUAAGAGGACUAGCUCUUGCUGCAGCACUCAGUUUCAGUCCCAGCGUUGCUCCUCUUGGUUUAUCUUCCUUAUCGGACACUGGCAAGAAAGAGGAGCGUAAGAAGGAAGCCUCUGUGAAGCACAGUGCCCUAAGGUCAACACAACAGGGCUUCCAAACCUGGAUCCUUCUGCAUCAGGGCACCUUUGAAUUUGUGAAAAGAGGACCAAAUUUCAUUUUAAACAGCCGCUGGAUGUGGUAAGCGUUACCAGUUCAUUCUUUGCUUGACAAAUGAUCUGAAAAUGGGUUGAAAUGUAGUGUCUUACUUUAUAAACAAUACCAACAGGUCCUGACUUAAGGCUGCUUUGGUCCUAAGAAACUGGUUGACUGACUCUUAAAUAUUAGGAUGGGCUAUGCUGUAACUGUAUUAGAUUCAGGGGGAAGUUGAAGUAUCUAGAACGUAAUUUCCCUGCAGGUUCUGGAUCUGACCACGUGAAAAAAAAACCAAAAACACACCACUAGU